ensembl:lncRNA
UCUCAAACCAAAAUUUGAGUCAAAAUAAAUAAAUGCAUUCUACACUCACGGUGUACCUUUAAAUGUAUGUGUGUGUGUUGACUGUAUGCCUGUAUACACAUUUAGCUGUUGUCAUGGAGUCAGCUCACGGGGAUCCAAAUAAAGAUCAAGUCUUAUAAAAUAAGUGAAUGUUUUUGUUAAUGAUGUCUUUCCGGCUUACUUACAGUGUAGGAGUGACUUUUUAUUUAACUAAGCAUAUAAGGUGUUCACUUUUAUGAACUAAGUUUCCAUGGUGAUAUUAGUUGGUCUUUGAUAACAGAACACCCACAUCAAGAGGCACAAAACCAGCUUUAUACUCAGAAAACAACUUCAUAACAGUAAAAAACAAUUACAAUCAAUUUAUUCUCAUUAUAAUUUGACUAUAAUUAAACUUUUUCAAAAUCAUUGAUUGAAUAAAUUCCUUACAAAAAAAACAACAUCAAAUGUAGGCCACUCAAAACACCUGAGCUAGGAACCAUGACAACACAGCUGACUAACAAUACAGUGAUACUGUUGAAAUACAAAGGCUGUGUCCCAGAUGGCACCUUAUUCCCUCUAUAGUGCACUACUUUUGACCAGAGCCCUGUAUGUGCCCUGUCAAAAGUGCCUGUGAUGUACCUAACUUCACAUAUGUUUCAGGUGUCUAUACAGUAUGGCCGAGUCCGAAAUGGCACCCCAUUCCCUAUAUAGUACACUACUUUUGGCCGUUCAAAAUGAGUGCACUAUAUAGUGAAUAGCGUGCCAUUUGGGCCAUACCCCAUGUGAUCAUGCACCGGAGGGAAACUGGUUUAUAUUUGAAGUGGAGUAAAUGACUACUUCCCUUUUCAGUUGUGUUAUAAGAAACCUUCGAAACGGAGUUCCUGUCCUCUCUUCAUCCUCUUUCCUUCUGUGUAAAAUCCCCUGUUCUCCUCUUUCCUCCUCUAGAGGACAGCUAGAGGACAGCUAGAGGAUACCUAGAGGACAGCUAGAGGACAGCUAGAGGAUACCUAGAGGAGAGCUAGAGGAUACCUAGAGGACAGCUAGAGGACAGCUAGAGGAUACCUAGAGGACAGCUAGAGGAUACCUAGAGGAUACCUAGGGGACAGCUAGAGGAUACCAAGAGGACAGCUAGAGCACAGCUAGAGGAUACCUAGAGGACAGCUAGAGGACAGCUAGAUAAUACCUAGAGGAUACCUUCGAGGACAGCUAGAGGAUACCUAGAGGACAGCUAGAGGAUACCUAGAGGACAGGAUGAGGAUAUCUAGAGGACAGCUAGAGGAUACCUAGGGGACAGCUAGAGGAUACCUAGAGGACAGCUAGAGGAUACCUAGAGGACAGCUAUAGGAUACCUAGAGGACAGCUAGAGGAUACCUAGAGGAUACCUAGGGGACAGCUAGGGGAUAACAAGAGGACAGCUAGAGGACAGCUAGAGGAUACCUCGAGGACAGCUAGAGGAUACCUAGAGGACAGCUAGAGGACAGCUAGAGGACAGCUAGAG